rnacentral:lncRNA from 1 species
AGCCUCUCUCUCGGCCAUCCUUUCCCUCUUUAAAAUUCUAUUUUUAGUUUUAAAUAAUAAUAAAGCCCUGCCUCGUUUUAAGUGUUUAACCCUUGAUCACUGAUACCCUGUCCGACUGACGUAGGGCCCUGUAACGUAUGUCAAGGCUCUGCCUGAAUUCGUUGGGGUUCUGUCUCGUGACUGCACUAUAUAUGUUAUUAAAUAACCCAGGAGUUAUACCCAAAAUAUAACAACCCUCCUAAAACACCCCUGACACCCCCACACUUUCUAAAAUACACCCCGUAUGUGAAAACCGAGCCUGAAAUACAAUAUAUAAAUUAAAAACGAGAAAUAGUAAGUUGAGGCGGGCCGCGUAGACCCACCCCAACCAUGCACGCGGGCCGUAUGAAGGUGUAACCGGAUUCCUUUGAUUUCUUAAGUCCAGGCGGGCCGCAUAAGACCACACCGUUAGUUUACGCGGGCCGCGCGUGUUUCAAAGGGUGGCGCAACUCUGAGCUGACACGUGUCGAUAUCGUGUCGAGUCUAUCUGGUGACCAGGCUAAGCUACGCAGUUGACCGGAGUCAACGCGGGCCGCGUGAGCCCAGUCCAUAUUGUACGCGGGCCGCGUGGGAACCAGAAUCAGCACCUAUAUAAGAGGGCCAUCGGAUUUCAUUCGAAUUCGCUCACAACGAUUUCUUUCUCUCAAAUUCUGAUAGUAGGCUUAUAAUACACGGGUAUUAUACCCCUAAUUAGCGAAGCUCUGCCUCGUUACUAUAACCAGGGAAUCACAAAGGAAAGCC